AGUUACUGAGAACUCAUAAGACGAAGCUAAAAUCCCUCUUCGGAUCCACAGUCAACCGCCCUGAACACAUCCUGCAAAAAGCCCAGAGAAAGGAGCGCCAUGGAUUACUACAGAAAAUAUGCAGCUAUCUUUCUGGUCACAUUGUCGGUGUUUCUGCAUGUUCUCCAUUCCGCUCCUGAUGUGCAGGAUUGCCCAGAAUGCACGCUACAGGAAAACCCAUUCUUCUCCCAGCCGGGUGCCCCAAUACUUCAGUGCAUGGGCUGCUGCUUCUCUAGAGCAUAUCCCACUCCACUAAGGUCCAAGAAGACGAUGUUGGUCCAAAAGAACGUCACCUCAGAGUCCACUUGCUGUGUAGCUAAAUCAUAUAACAGGGUAAGAACCUCAAGAUCCCCAGAAGCUUUCUAACAGCCCAAUCAGAGAAAUGUUCAUAGAGCCCACCCAUGGAAUUUAAUGCCAAAGGUGUCUAAUGACCCAGCCUCUGUCGAGCAUUUGUACAGGUGGGGAAUACAUUUCUACCCAUUAAUUAAAAGAGUCAAUUGUCUUGUGGGUAUAGACUGGAUUUAUUCAGAAUGAGGAGAAUAGGGGUAGAGGUGACAAGGGGCAGGUUGGGAGAAAGUACAGCUUACUUGUGCUAAAAAUAUUUCCUAAAAAGGAGACUGUGCAAAUGUAGUAUGCAUCUACUUAUUUCAGCAGAAUGCAAACAAUUUUAUGUAAUAUUCUUCAAUUUUGUCUCUAUCUAUCUAUCUAUCAUCUAAUCUAUAAUAUGUUUUUUUUUCCUUCCCCUUUAGGUCACAGUAAUGGGGGGUUUCAAAGUGGAGAACCACACGGCGUG
rnacentral:lncRNA from 10 species